UACCAGCACCCCGAGUGGUCGGGACAAUUAUUGGGCCUAAAGCAUCCGUAGCCGGUCAUGCAAGUCUUCCGUUAAAUCCAGCCGCUCAACGGUUGGGCUGCGGAGGAUACUACGUGGCUAGGAGGCGGGAGAGGCAAGCGGUACUCAGUGGGUAGGGGUAAAAUCCUUUGAUCCAUUGAAGGCCACCAGUGGCGAAGGCGGCUUGCCAGAACGCGCUCGACGGUGAGGGAUGAAAGCUGGGGGAGCAAACCGG
rnacentral:rRNA from 1 species